CACCCAACAGCUCAGUCGGUCAGGCAUAAGACUCUAAAUCUCAGGGUUGUGGGUUUGAGUCCCGGGUUGGGUGA